ACGAAACAAGACAGCCUGGUGAAACAAGACAGUUCACAAGAUCUUUGAUUUGUCCAUCGAAAAGUUUUCACCGGGGACCCAGCAACAUCAUUUCUUCUUUAAUCUUAUUUAAAUUUUGGCAGUGUCGUAUUUUAGUGAUGAUUGAAUUUCGUAGAGGUAUUCUCGUUGAUUCAUUUUCAAGUUUCUCCCUUUCGCAGAGACCAAAGAAAUCUGCUUUGGUCAAUUAGAUCAUCUAUGGCAAUUGUGUUUUGAGGGUAAGAAAAGAAAGCAACUUUCACAUUCUUUCAUAUGUGGUGAUGAUGCAGCAACGUCCAAAGAGAGAUAGCAAAAGGAGAAAUUGGUGGAGGGUUGGUUCUUCGAUGGAAGAUAUCUAUCCAAAAAGAUAAUCCGAAGAUUCUCCAGAUUGAUUCUGGGAUGAUAGCCCGCAGCAUUGGUGCUGGUUCUGGUGGAUUUUCAAGGCUGGUUUGCUUGAGAGUACACCCAACGCUUACUCUCUCGCACCCCACUGAAACUUUUGUCUCAUUCACCUCCAUUGAUGGAUCAAAGCGUGAAAUCUGGCCCGAAUCUGGGGAUCAGUUUUAUCGAGAGAAUCUCCUGCCUAAUGUUAAGUUCUAUUUUAUGGUGUUAUAUGAAUUUUUUUAUAUAGUUUUUAUAGCAGAAAGGUCAGAGUGUAAAUGGAACCGAAAGGAAUACGGAAAGGAAACAAACCAUGAGGAUGAUCAAAGUUGACUCAAGUUUCUGCUGUUAAUCGUGAGAUUAACAAUAGAGAUGGGAAGCUCUAGGGUAACAAUCCUUGAUGUUUGCUGAAAUCAUUUUUCAUAUUUGCAAGAUCACCGUGAUCACAAUGCUGAAAUUUUAAGUUAUUGCAUGGAUAAAGAAACAGUAUAAAGUAGUCAGUGUAACUACAUAAACUUCAGCACUGGUCCAGUCACUAGUCAUUUCGUUUACUCUUACAAGAACUCUGGGUCAACUGAAUACCAUAGCUUAUGAGAACGUGUAUAUAGUGCCAUUUAUUGACGCCUGUUAAUUUUUGUGAAUCUGGAUGUCGCCUAUUACGUUUAUCUCUGGUGAAUCAGUGCUGGUUGAUAAAUUUCAGGGUUUGGCUCUAGUCAAUCGGUUUAACAUUAAUGAGGUUUGUAAAUGUUGCAUCCAUCGGGAAACAGGGACAAUAAAUAUGGAGCUGUGGUCUGAAGAUAGGCCCGUUUCAAAGCAAUCACCUUUCGUAGUCUACCAUGGGUAUGAGGUGAUAGGAAUCUCUUAAUUGCUUGUAUAAUAGACUAUGCAGAAAUCUUCACUCAGCAGAUUUUAAGUUGUAAAGUUUUAGCUAAAUAAUGCAUCAAAACUUUAUCUUAUGAAAGAAUGGUAAAAGGAAUCUAGAAACUGCACUUGGUUCCUAACAUAAAUCAAGAUUUCUUCAAAA